AAUGAGUUGUUUAGUCGCGGUCAUAUUGGACUUUUUGUAUAUACUCAAAAAGGCUCCAUAAUUUCCAUGGUGGAUUUACCCACUACAGAAAUUAUAGAGCC
rnacentral:ncRNA from 1 species